AAAACGUUAAAACUUUGAAAGAAUAAAAAAGUGAGAAAAAGAAAGUUCUUUGUUGGUGCAACUCGUGAGUUUAAAAUGGUGGUUCAGAGUCGGUGGUCUGGGAGAUGAGGUGGUGCAGUGAGGAUGAAGAGGGACAGGGAGGUGCUAAGGAGUCCAUUUUUAGCGGCGGUUGUGGCGGCGGCGCUGCUGCCGAUAUGGGUUUUGGCUGCCGCAAAACAACAGAACCACCACCUCCAACGAGGAAUUGGGGAUAAGAAGCUGACGUUUGGGACAGAUGGGCAGUUUAAGAUUCUGCAAGUGGCGGAUAUGCACUACGGCAAUGGCAAGACUACGCCUUGUAAGGAUGUGCUGCCGUCCCAGUUUGCAACUUGCUCUGACCUCAACACCACCGCCUUUGUACGCCGCAUGAUCGAGGCGGAGAAGCCGAAUCUCAUCGUCUUCACCGGAGAUAACAUAUACGGGUUUGAUGUCACGAAUGCUGCUAAAUCUUUGAACGAGGCGUUCGCCCCAGCAAUCGCGUCCAACAUCCCGUGGGCAGCUGUGUUGGGGAACCAUGAUCAGCAAUCCGACCUCUCGAGGGAAGGGGUAAUGAAACACAUAGUUGGGUUGAAGAACACUCUGGCUCAAGUUAAUCCUUUAGGCCAAGAUGCUAUUGAUGGUUUUGGGAACUAUAACCUAGAAGUCGCCGGAGUUGAGGGCUUUAGUUUUGAAAACAAAUCGGUUCUCAAUCUUUACUUCCUUGACAGCGGAGAUUACUCUACGGUUCCCUCCAUAGGUCGCUAUGGUUGGAUCAAACCCUCCCAACAAUAUUGGUUUGAACGAACUUCUGCAAAGCUUCAGAAAGCAUACAUGAGCAAGCCCCUACCCCAGAAAGCGCCUGCGCCAGGGAUCGCAUACUUUCACAUACCAUUGCCGGAAUUUGCUAGUUUUGACUCAUCAAACUUUACAGGAGUGAAACAAGAAGGCAUUAGCUCUGCUUCUGUGAACUCGGGCUUCUUCACAACCAUGGUUGCAGCAGGAGAUGUGAAGGCAGUGUUCAUAGGCCAUGAUCACCUCAAUGACUUCUGUGGGGAGCUAAGUGGUAUAAACCUUUGUUAUGCUGGGGGAUUUGGAUACCAUGCUUAUGGGAAGGCUGGAUGGGAUAGGAGAGCAAGGGUGGUGGUAGCAAACUUAGAGAAAACGGUUAAGGGAGGUUGGGGAGCGGUCAAGUCAAUCAAAACAUGGAAACGCCUUGAUGAUGAGCACCUCACUGCUAUCGAUGGUCAGGUUCUCUGGAGCAAGAGCUCUGUGGCUUGCAAAUUGUUCGAUCCCAUGCUUAUGUGAUACUGGAUCUAGAGUUGUGUUUUUAUCUGUCCAGCAGCUUUGCCACAACAAUACAACAGUAAAAUUCUUUCUUCCGCUUCUCAACUGCCCUUAUUGUGUUGAUCACAAGCCAUCGUUGCUUGCUGCUGAAGGAAUUCCUUAUACCAUCUUGACCAAACACCUCCCCAUUUCUCACUCGAAAUCUGAAAAGAGAAACUGGAAACAUCUGAUCUUGAUCUAUGAUAGUGAUGAUUCAUGUUAAAUACUGUAUCCACUGCUUCAACUGUCAUUACGGUAUGCGUAGAAAGAAACCUGUUGGCGGUAACUGAGUAACGACCACAAGCCAGACAGUAAGUAGGGAGAGUUUAUAGGCAAGAAACCAGGCAUGAGAAAGUUGUGAAAAUCCUGGCGAGGAAAUUGUCAUUUGUUUCUUUGUAACGUAACAGACAAUAAAUGAAAUCUAAGAAAAAAAAAGGGAGGAAAUGUACUGUUUGUAUGCUAUAUAAGUGCAUUGUGAAAUAUGGUAAACAGGACCCAGAAAAAUGAUGUAACAAGGUUGAUUGUCAUUUAUACUACACUGUUUAUCUACAA